AUCCGCGUGGUGCAGUGGUUAGCAUGGUGCUGUAAGUCUUAAAAUAUAUGUCUCGGCAUUUGGCAAUAGUUACUAAUAUGAACAAAUAGCUUAUACUUUCUCGUAUUGAGAUAUGCAUAGGUCGUGGGUUCAAUCCCCACCGUGGAUA